rnacentral:rRNA from 1 species
UACGGGGGGGCAAGCGUUGUUCGGAAUUACUGGGCGUAAAGGCUCGUAGGUGGCCAACUAAGUCAGACGUGAAAUCCCUCAGCUUAACUGGGAACUGCGUCUGAUACUGGAUGGCUUGAGUUUGGGAGAGGGAUGCGGAAUUCCAGGUGUAGCGGUGAAAUGCGUAGAUAUCUGGAGGAACACCGGUGGCGAAGGCGGCAUCCUGGACCGAUAUUGACGCUGAUGCGCGAAAGCCAGGGAGCAACGGG